rnacentral:lncRNA from 1 species
CUUUGAGGGAAUUAUGCUAAGUGAAAUAAGUCAGAGGGAGAAAGUCAAAUACCAUAUGAUCUCACUCAUACAUAGAAGAGGUCCAGGAGAUCGGACGGAGCCAACAGGAGAGAUGGGCAAGCGUCCAGCAAAGUAGGAAGAAACAGAGAGAGGAUGAACUGAACCCCAAGUGAAGAGAGUACUUCAAGGAAAAAGGAGUACUCAGCAGUAUCACGUGUUAUUGGCUAUGAGACUUGGCAGCACAGAAGGCCCUCGUGACCCUGAGGAGAUGGUUUCAUUGAAGCAGUGGGGACAAAAGCCUGAGAGCAGUGAGUUGUGAGAGAAUGGAGGUGAGGAAGUGAAGACAGCAAAUAACUGUUUCUGUUUUGAAGAAGUUUUGCAGUAAAGAAUGGCUGUAACAGAGGAGAACUCGGCUGGAGAGAAGGUUGCUAACAGGAGACACAGCACGCGUUUUUGCGCCGAUGGGAAUGAUCUCUCAAGCAGUCAACUAAGAAGCAGUGUCAUCAGCUGAGAGGGGAGGCCAGCAGAGAGGGUUUCAGAGGGCUGCAGGGAGAGGAGAAAAGUGAGACGGUCCCUCUUGGAGGGAGGAAAAGAUAGCUUACCAUAAACGUGUGCGAUGACUGUCUGACCGCGGUGACAACGAAUCUGACCUGAGACCCGCCAGCAGAGCAGAAUGUCUCCACCUGCUCCGCCCUCCACAGUGAGCGGCUCAGGCACAGUAUUAAAGGGUCAAGAGCACGUGGUCAGUGCCUCCAUAGCACAGAAGGCAGCGCGUCAGUCUCAUAAAGAGCACGUGGUCAGGAACCCGGUCAUUGGGUUCUCAUCCAGCUUCCAAGCCACCAUGUUAAUUACAAGGACAACUACGUUUGCAUACGUACUUUCUGAAGCACC